rnacentral:pre_miRNA from 1 species
UCACCUCCCAGGCUGGCUGCCCCAGGCUUGGCUGGGCAAGGAUUUCUCUGAAAGGCUCACCCAAAAGCAGAACUAGAAGC